GACGAACGCUGGCGGCGUGCUUAACACAUGCAAGUCGAACGGAAAGGCCCCUUUGGGGGUACUCGAGUGGCGAACGGGUGCGUAACACGUGAGUAACCUGCCCUUGACUUCGGGAUAACUUCAGGAAACUGGGGCUAAUACCGGAUAGGAAUCCUUGCUGCAUGGUGGGGGUUGGAAAGCUUCGGGGGUUUUGGAUGGACUCGCGGCUUAUCAGCUUGUUGGUGGGGUAGUGGCUUACCAAGGCUUUGAUGGGUAGCCGGCCUGAGAGGGCGACCGGCCACAUUGGGACUGAGAUACGGCCCAGACUCCUACGGGAGGGAGAAGGGGGGAAUAUUGCACAAUGGGCGGAAGCCUGAUGCAGCAACGCCGCGUGCGGGAUGACGGCCUUCGGGUUGUAAACCGCUUUCAGCAGGGGCGAAGCUUGUGGUGACGGUACCUGCAGAAGAAGCACCGGCUAACUACGUG
rnacentral:rRNA from 1 species